rnacentral:rRNA from 1 species
GACGAACGCUGGCGGCGUGCUUAACACAUGCAGGUCGAACGGUAAGGCCCUUCGGGGUACACGAGUGGCGAACGGGUGAGUAACACGUGGGUGAUCUGCCCUGCACUUCGGGAUAAGCCUGGGAAACUGGGUCUAAUACCGGAUAGGACCACUGCCUGCAUGGGUGGUGGUGGAAAGCUUUUGCGGUGUGGGAUGGGCCCGCGGCCUAUCAGCUUGUUGGUGGGGUGAUGGCCUACCAAGGCGACGACGGGUAGCCGGCCUGAGAGGGUGACCGGCCACACUGGGACUGAGAUACGGCCCAGACUCCUACGGGAGGCAGCAGUGGGGAAUACUGCACAAUGGGCGCAAGCCUGAUGCAGCGACGCCGCGUGAGGGAUGACGGCCUUCGGGUUGUAAGCCUCUUUCAGCACCGACGAAGCGCAAGUGACGGUAGGUGCAGAAGAAGGACCGGCCAACUACGUGCCAGCCGCCGCAGUAA